rnacentral:rRNA from 1 species
GUGAGGAAUAUUGCGCAAUGGAGGCAACUCUGACGCAGCCAUGCCGCGUGCAGGAAGAAGGCGCUACGCGUUGUAAACUGCUUUUAACCGGGAAGAAACCCCAGGACGUGUCCUGGGUUGACGGUACCGGAGGAAUAAGCACCGGCUAACUUCGUGCCAGCAGCCGCGGUAAUACGAAGGGUGCAAGCGUUAUCCGGAUUCAUUGGGUUUAAAGGGUGCGUAGGCGGAGCGUUAAGUCAGUGGUGAAACCCUGCAGCUUAACUGUAGACUUGCCAUUGAUACUGGCGCUCUUGAGUGCGCUUGAAGUGGGCGGAAUGUGCCGUGUAGCGGUGAAAUGCUUAGAUAUGGCACAGAACACCAAUUGCGAAGGCAGCUCACUAAGGCGAUACUGACGCUGAGGCACGAAAGCGUGGGGAUCGAACAGGAUUAGAAACCCGGGUAGUCC